CACUCCGCCUGGGGAGUACGACCGCAAGGUUGAAACUCAAAGGAAUUGACGGGGGCCCGCACAAGCGGUGGAGCAUGUGGUUUAAUUCGAAGCUACGCGAAGAACCUUACCAGGUCUUGACAUCUUGCGCUAACCUAAGAGAUUAGGCGUUCCCUUCGGGGACGCAAUGACAGGUGGUGCAUGGUCGUCGUCAGCUCGUGUCGUGAGAUGUUGGGUUAAGUCCCGCAACGAGCGCAACCCUUGUUACUAGUUGCCAGCAUUCAGUUGGGCACUCUAGUGAGACUGCCGGUGACAAACCGGAGGAAGGUGGGGACGACGUCAGAUCAUCAUGCCCCUUAUGACCUGGGCUACACACGUGCUACAAUGGCCGGUACAACGAGCAGCUAACCCGCGAGGGUGUGCAAAUCUCUUAAAGCCGGUCUCAGUUCGGACUGCAGUCUGCAACUCGACUGCACGAAGUCGGAAUCGCUAGUAAUCGCGGAUCAGCAUGCCGCGGUGAAUACGUUCCCGGGCCUUGUACACACCGCCC
rnacentral:rRNA from 1 species